GGCCUCGUGCUCUAGUGGGUAUGAUUCUCGCUUUCGGGUGCGAGAGGUCCCGGGUUCGAUUCCUGGGUGAGGGCC